rnacentral:rRNA from 1 species
CCUACGGGAGGCAGCAGUGAGGAAUAUUGGUCAAUGGACGAGAGUCUGAACCAGCCAAGUAGCGUGAAGGAUGACUGCCCUAUGGGUUGUAAACUUCUUUUAUAUGGGAAUAAAAUGUUCCACGUGUGGGAUUUUGUAUGUACCAUCUGAAUAAGGAUCGGCUAACUCCGUGCCAGCAGCCGCGGUAAUACGGAGGAUCCGAGCGUUAUCCGGAUUUAUUGGGUUUAAAGGGAGCGUAGGUGGAUAGUUAAGUCAGUUGUGAAAGUUUGCGGCUCAACCGUAAAAUUGCAGUUGAAACUGGCAGUCUUGAGUACAGUAGAGGUGGGCGGAAUUCGUGGUGUAGCGGUGAAAUGCGUAGAUAUCACGAAGAACUCCGAUUGCGAAGGCAGCGCACUGGACUGCAACUGACACUGAGGCUCGAAAGUGUGGGUAUCAAACAGGAUUAGAUACCCCUGUAGUC